ensembl:processed_transcript
AAGAGAGAGAGAAAAGGAAAAUAAUAACAGAAUAUUGAGGCAUAACAAGUGAAUCCUAAAUUGCAUUUGAACUGGUCGAACAGGACGACAGAGCAGUGAGCAUGAGAUCAUUGCAGCCGAGUAGCAAACUGGCACCCAGCCUUUUCACCCCUUCGGUUCGGGAGACGAACGUGUGCAGUCCUCGUUUCUCAAGUCAGCCUGGAAGGAUUCCGGGACUCUCCCACCUUCUACCAUUCUGCUGCCAGUCGGUGGCAACGAUUGGUGCAGAUUCUGCGCAGUGCUUUGUGCCUGGAAUAUGGAGAAGGAAGAGAAUGAAGACAAGCCCUCUGGACCUCCUUCUCUGAGAAAUACUGGGAGCCCAGAAGAAACAGAAAAAAAAAAAAAAAAUCCAAAACAAAAACAAAAAACCAAA